UACGUAGGUGGCAAGCGUUGUCCGGAUUUACUGGGCGUAAAGAGCGCGCAGGCGGUCGAAUAAGUCGAAUGUGAAAGCCCCCCGGCUCAACUGGGGAGGGUCACGCGAUACUGAUCGACUCGAAGGCAGGAGAGGGUAGUGGAAAUUCCCGGUGUAGUGGUGAAAUUCGUAGAUAUCAGGAGGAACACCAGUGGCGAAGGCGGCUUUCUGGACGGUAACUGACGCUGAGACGCGAAAGCGUGGGGAGCAAACAGG
rnacentral:rRNA from 1 species